UACGUAGGGUGCGAGCGUUAAUCGGAAUUACUGGGCGUAAAGCGUGCGCAGGCGGUUUUGUAAGUCUGUCGUGAAAUCCCCGGGCUCAACCUGGGAAUUGCGAUGAAGACUGCAAGGCUUGAAUCUGGCAGAGGGGGGUAGAAUUCCACGUGUAGCAGUGAAAUGCGUAGAGAUGUGGAGGAACACCGAUGGCGAAGGCAGCCCCCUGGGUCAAGAUUGACGCUCAUGCACGAAAGCGUGGGGAGCAAACAGG
rnacentral:rRNA from 1 species